UACCCUGCAUGAACAUGAAAUAGUACUUAGGACAUUUAGAAAAAUCUGGCAAUAGUAAUGCUGUGUUACAAGCCUUAGAGACACACCAUCAAAAAUCAUUAAGGUCUCUGAAAAUGGCUACACAU
rnacentral:snoRNA from 1 species